GGCUCCAUCCCUCUAUGCAUCAUCGCUUCACUCAUCCCACCCGGUUGAGUCAUAUACGGGUGAGGCAAACCCGGUAAUUUCCCUUGACCAAACCCUAAACCAGGUAGCGAAAGAUUAGCCAAACCGGUUUGUCCUAAACCGAACGAGUAACCGGAAGGAGGUCCCAAAUGCGGCUGGAAGCUAAACGGACGUCCAAACGGAGACUGAUGAUUGCUGGCCGUGAGCUGUCUCUCGUAUCUGCCACGCGGCUGCUCAUGGUAAAAGAUUAUGUAAUAUUAAUUUCUUUUUCUAAAAUCCUAUAAAACUGUAAAAUAAUAUUUGAUAGUUGUUUUUCUUUUUUAUAUAAAAAUUUCUAAACAAAAUAAAUUUGUAUAAUAUUUUUAAGUCCUAACCAAAAGAGAAUUGUAAAAAUUUAUUUGAUAAUAUUUUUAAGAGAGUGUUUGAUGAUGAAUAUGAUACUAAAAAUUAUUUAGGUAACAAAAGAAGUGUAAAAAUUAGUAUUGAUACGAAUGGUAAAAAUAGAAAUUUUAAAAAUAUUUAUUAAUAACUAAAAUAAUUAUUUUAUAGCAAUAUAUUUUUUCCUGAAAUUCUAAACAGAAAAUAAUUGUAAUAGGUUAUAUGACAAUAAUUUACCUUUUCUAAAAUCUUAAACAAAUUGUAAAAGAGUAUUUAUAAAAUAGAAUGUUUUCCUUUUUUUAAAAUCCUAGCAAAAUAAAAAUUUUAAGACUUAUUUAAUAAAACAUUAAAUUAGUAGAUAAGAAUACGUAUAAUGUUGUCAUUGAUUCGAUUGUUGUAUUUAACUUUCAUUUCUUUUUACUUUUCAUUUUUUAUUUCGGAUUGUGUUCAAUUUAAAUGUUUAUGUAUGGUAUUUUCUCUAAUCCUUAGUAUACCGUUUAUAACAACUCAUCUAUGCACCAUGAUUAUAAAAUAAAAAUAUUAACUUGAACUUAUGUGUGAAAACGAGUUUUAAUUAUAAAAUAAAUUUCAAACAACAUAUGCAAAAAACAAUCAUAAUACUAUAAUAAAAUGAUUUAUUAUUUUAUGGUUUUUAUUAAAUUAAAACAUCAAACAAAACCCGUUGCAACGGAGUUGGAAAGGGUCCUUCUGUAUAAGAGAAAGGUCCAGAGAGAGAAAGUAGAUCCGAUCUUGGGUCCGGCGUAUGACCGGCGCGUGAGCGAGCGUGCCGUCGCUGGAACCCUUCGCUUUACCGUUGAGAAAACUCCCCUGCUUCUCCCUCGCCUCCUUUCCCUAUCGCCUUGUCGGAGCUCUGGUCCAGGCCUCAUCUGUCGUCGUCACCUCGGGGAGUGAACCGACAUCAUUGGUGGCGCUGCGUCUGGAGUAACGACGCGAUCGUGUGAAGGGUGGGUGUGGUGAAGUCGGUUUGUUAGAUUAGGUUUCGAUUCCGGGAGGUAGAGGCAUCUAAAGCUCCAUCGCCGCCGGCCUUGUUUCCGGGAAGUGGAGGCUUCCUCAGCUCUGCUUUCGCCGGCUUUAGUCUCCGGGGGGUGAAGGUGUUUUUUGCCUUGCGUCGCCGGCUCUUGGUCCCCUAUUUCCGUUUUAGGGUUUUUUAUCUUUGUUUUGGCGGUUUCGGGUUGGUUUUGAUGGAGGAGCUCUCGUCGGAGGAUGAUUGACACUCUCCGGUGGUUUAUGGUGAUGGUUUGUGCGAAAUCUUCUUCUCGGUGUUGGUGAUUAAUGGUGGCGGGUGAGAUCUCGUCCUUGCGAUUGAUGCUCUCCGAUAAUAGAAGCACCUGAUUUGAAGGCGUUUGCGGUGAUGAUGGGGUGGAGCUGACGAGCUCUGAUGUGUCCCGGUGGAUCGAUCGAUGGAUGUUUCACAGGGGGUGGCUUGAAGGGGGGCGACGUCGUGGCUCGAAGCGAUGGUUCACGGAUACGGCGGCGUCCUUUUCGGUUUCUAGGGUUUUUUUAGUUGGGCUUGUGGGCCUUGUGUGUGUGUUUUAAGUUUGCCUUUACCGAUGGGCUUUGUAUCUGUUGAGUUUGUCUCAUUAAUUAAAGAAAUUAUUGAUGGCAAAAAAAAAAAAACCUGUUGCAACGCAACGAACUCAUAUCUUGUAAAAGAUAAACUUGACGUCCCAGGAUGUCACUAAUAUGCAGUGCUACUGCAGUCGCAGCAAUGUUACUAUCCAGUAAAACAUGUCAAGGCUCCAUUUCUCAAUAUUAAGGAGCAAAGCAUAGAUUGCAGUGGCGAGAUAAAUUGUGGGGACCAAAGAAGAGGACAAAAUUUCUAUACUCAAGACAUAUGAUGCCUCAAAAACUUAUUGCAACUCACAACACCAAACCUACAAGAGGACAAUGCAUGUGGUACAAAGAAGUGAAACAACCACGCACACCGGUAGAGACUAUGGUAAUGCAUCAAAAACCGACCAAAAAAUUGUCAACCAUAUAAUGUGUGUCCAAUACGUCUUGAUAAGAAAGAUGAAUUUUAAUCCAUAACAUAACUCAGCUUCCAGAUGAAGCAAUGAUAUUACGAAGAAGGAGAACGAAAAAACACGAUAGUUAGAGAAGUCAUACUGUUGACCUUCCAAUCCGGUUAAACACAAAGACAAAUCCUGUAAAUAAUAUUGAAACUUACGUCAACACAGAAGCACUAUCAGAUUUGAGCUAAUAGCCUUGAAAUCAAACAUAUCGAAAAAUGAAAAGGUAAAAAAUGAAGGGAUUGGCUUUGGAAGCUAUUAUCAAAAAAAAAAAAGAACUUACCGGCUAGAGUUUAUGGAGAGAAAACCUUAAAUCCAAUGAAGUAAAAAGAAAAAAAAAAUCAUGGAAAGUAUAGAGACCUAUAACUUCCAGGUAAGCUCGGCUCGUACAGUAAACCCAAUAACCAUUUCUUUAACCGGUUCGAUAUCUCUUGAACCUGAUCUAGGAUCCGAAUUUAGACCGGGUCUAAAACCAAUAAGAAUUUCAUCGAAAGAGACCAACGAGGAGUCGAGAGAGAGGGAGAGAGCAAUGGCACCUUCGUCGUCGAGCGGUUUGACCUUCAAGCUCCAUCCUCUAGUAAUCGUCAACAUAUCGGAUCACUACACCAGGGUCAAGACUCAGCUAAACCCUCCGCCUUCAGUCUGCGCAACCGAGAACGCCUCCUCCAACAACGGCGAAGCAAUGUUGCAGCCGAACCCUAGGGUUUACGGAUGCGUGAUCGGCGUCCAGAGAGGCCGCACUGUGGAGAUCUUCAACAGCUUCGAGCUUUUGUUCGAUCCUUCGACUGAAACCCUCGAUAGGUCCUUCCUCGAGAAGAAGCAAGAGCUCUGUGAGCUCUCUCUCACUCUCUCUAUUCUCUUGUCCUUUGGAUAAUUUUAUGGGGUUUUGAUUGAUUAUUCUUGUUGUUUAUCAGACAAGAAAGUGUUCCCUGACUUCUACGUGUUGGGAUGGUACUCUACGGGGAGUGACGCUGAGGAGUCUGAUAUGCUUAUCCACAAAGCCGUGAGUUUUCAAAGUGUUUUUGUAGGAUUAAGAUUUGAUCUGAAUGUACUGAAAAGUGCGUGGCUUUCGUGUCGUGACAGUUGAUGGAUAUCAAUGAGUCUCCCGUUUAUGUGCUUCUUAACCCGGCAAUCAAUCACGCACAGAAGGAUCUCCCAGUUACCAUUUAUGAAAGUGGUAUGCUUUCAGUUACUCUUAUCUUCCUUUUACUGGUUUAGAAGUUACUGUGACGUACGUGAUUAUGUAAUGCCACACUGUUAGCUUGUUACUGUAGGUAUAUGUUGUGUGUAGUUCAGAGUUACCUCCAUCUUUGUUCACUUCCAGAUUUAAAGUUCCUAACUUUUCUAAUUGAUUGGAAGAGUUGCAUGUCAUUGAUGGAAUCCCACAGCUCAUUUUUGCUCAUACAAGCUACACAAUCGAGGUCUGUGCUUAAUUUUGAUUCUGCUGUUAACCUAUGGUGUGAACUUGACUGAGAUUCUUGAGAUGUUAACCCAAACAGACAGUUGAAGCUGAACGGAUAUCAGUCGAUCAUGUUGCACAUCUCAAACCGUCUGAUGGAGGCUCAGCAGCAACCCAGUGUGAGCCUUUAUACCUCUCUCAUACUUAUCAUAAUCCAUUUGUUUCAGUGACACUGAAGCUUGACUGAUUACUUGUUAAUAUGCAGUGGCUGCUCAUCUUACUGGGAUACAUAGUGCCAUCAAAAUGCUUAAUAGCAGAAUCAGAGUGCUCCACCAGUACCUUGCAGCUAUGGAGAAAGGUACCUUCUAUUUUUCCCUUCCUUAAGUGCUUUAGGUGACACGGAUAAUGACUCGUGGGUUCUUAUUUCUAGGUGAUAUUCCUUGUGAAAACUCACUUCUGAGACAAGUAUCUAGCCUGCUAAGAAGGUUGCCUGCCAUGGAAUCAGAGAGGUUUCAUGAUAACUUUUUGAUGGUGAGUUACAUUUGCAUCAUAUUCUUUCUAAGUAUGGCUUGUUUUCUCAAAUAUCUCUCAAACUUAUGUAAUUCUCUCCUUUUGCAGGAGUACAACGACAAAUUGCUAGUAACUUACCUAGCAAUGAUUACAAAUUGUACCAGGUCUGUACCAUAUAUAACAUUCUAUAUAAAGUAUUCGACUGCAGAGUCAUAUGCAGGCCAACGUUUACAAAACAUGUGGCAAUCAUGCUACGCCUUUAUGUUCUGUUAUCAUCAUUAGUAACUAUGAAAGGUGUAAUUGUCAUUGGACUGAUGACUCUGUUUUAUCUGUAAACUUCUUUUUUUUUUGGUUCAAUCUGCAGCACCAUGAACGAGAUGGUGGACAAAUUCAACAUUGCGUAUGACAGAAACGCUCGAAGAGGUGGAAGAACUGCGUUCAUGUAAAAGUGUUUUUUUUCCAGCAGAUUCAAGCUGAAAAAUAUCUUCUUCUUUUUUUUUGCGUUUGCCUCGGAGUUAAUCUAUAAAUGAGUCUUAGUCUUCCUCGUGAUUGUUUCUAUCUAUGUACGAAGCUUCUCCGUACUGAAAACUCUUGUUUGAUUUUUUCCAAAUUUCCAUUGUUAGUAAAAAGAUUUUUACGGUUGAAGCUUUGUAAACUUUUGUUACACUUGGGUUAUGUGUUGAAUUAUGUUAUGUCUAAUAUAAAAAAGACAUCCAAAAAAGCUCAAGCAAAAUAAAAAGAAGACAAAAACUAAGGAAUGAAAAUAGAAAUAGCCUUGACCUUCCUCCCCAAGGUUUCAAACAAAUAUAAUAAAGAAAAUGAAACAGAAAUAGAAAUUAAAAGUUAUUGUAACUUGUAAGCCCCCAAGCAAAUGCAAAAGAAAAGGAGAAGAGAGUAAGUAAAUCUUCAAAUCUGUGGUAAUCUACUCAUGAUCUGGUUAUAAACCGAUUGUCCCGUCUCCGAAACCGGUUCCACCUUCGGCUCCAUCCCUCUAUGCAUCAUCGCUUCACUCAUCCCACCCGGUUGAGUCAUAUACGGGUGAGGCAAACCCGGUAAUUUCCCUUGACCAAACCCUAAACCAGGUAGCGAAAGAUUAGCCAAACCGGUUUGUCCUAAACCGAACGAGUAACCGGAAGGAGGUCCCAAAUGCGGCUGGAAGCUAAACGGACGUCCAAACGGAGACUGAUGAUUGCUGGCCGUGAGCUGUCUCUCGUAUCUGCCACGCGGCUGCUCAUGGNNNN
rnacentral:lncRNA from 1 species